ensembl:lncRNA
GGGUGGCUUACAGUGUGGCACUGCAGGUGGCUGGCUGUGCUCCUGACUACACUGUGCUCUGUUGGGAAAGCUGAAUUUUUGUCCCAUAGUAAGACUCUGAUUUCUGCAAGAUGAGGGUAGCUGGCUCCAAAAUGGGGUUGACUUUUCUCCUUUCUUUUUCCCUUUCUUUUUCCUUGCCACUCACUUUUUUUUGAUCUGGUGUUAGACCUCUUCAGUGAGUUUCAACUCACUUUUUCUCACAUUUCAACUUUUUCUGCUGCAUUUCUGCUCAGCAGAAGAGAGCCAGUAUAGCAGAGUCAUUAACCUGGUUCGGCUACUACAGCCUUUUAACCCAUCAAAAGGGUAAAGCAGAUUGAGACCCUUCUGAAUAAUUUGCAGAUGAAUUGGUUGCCUCCAGAACCAUUUACCAGCUUUUGGGAGAUUGGUUCAGUGCUACCAGGAACAAAAUUUGGCCUUGAACUUAAGAAAGAGGCAGAGUGCCAAAGCACAGGCCUGCACGCAGUCUGCACCAAUGUCAGUGCAGGCUUUCCCAUGUGGCCUUCUCAUGACACCAAACCAAGAGUCAGAUAUGGGGAUAAGACAUGAAUGUUACUGGAUGGAUCUGUAUGCAAUGUGCACAGUACAUGCACUUGGAUCUGUUCAUGUGAUUGCACAUUUAGCUGGACAGAGCUGUGGGCACUUGGACAGCUUCAGCUCUAUUGUAUUAGUCAUUCAUGCAUGAUAUUGUGGGUUUGCACAAUGCAUGUGUAUUCAUGCAGGUAGUUCAGCAGAUUCAGCAGGAACUGAAGUCUCUGAUAUCUGGCUGUUGCAAACUGCCUGUUUCAAAUAUAUAUUUAUACAACUAAGUGUAUUUUUAAAUGCAGGAGAAUGAAAUACUGUUGUGAACUACAUUGUAGACUAAAUUACAAGGGAUAUCUAAAAUAACAGCACAUACCUUGGUCAUUUGCAUAGUGCAAUAAUUCUAUUUAGCAGCAUCCAGGCUAUUGAUAUAUAGGACAAUCUAAGAAUGGAAUCAGUGUCCCUGUUGAACAUUCUCCUUCAUGAAGAAUAUCAACUUUUUCAAACUGUUUAGUGGGGUUUUUUUUUAGAAGCUGCUGUUAACUGGUAUUCAGUCUACAGCAUAGUUGCCCUCUUAGAAAGCUGUGUAGAGAAUGAGAUGCAAGCAACAGAUGUUUGUGACCAGAUCUUGUUCUGCUGUUUGUGCAAGCAGUGUGGGGUGGAUGAUGGGGAUCAGGAAUUGGCAUCGCUAGGUUAAUGGUUGGACUCAAUGAUCUUAAAGGUUUUUUCCAACCUAAACAAUUCUAUGAGUCUAAGAGCAGGUGUUGUGUCACUCUAGAGCCUGGGCUGCCCUAAGGACUGAAACAGCCUUAAAGGAAACUGAGAUUCCUGUUGCACUAGGUUUUCUCUCUCAUAUUUCCCCUUUCUUGUCACCCUGUGCAAGUACAUCCCAUAAGUGCAUUGACUGACCUGACUAGCACAUGUGGUGCAUGGGUUGAUCAUUCCUUCCAACAAUAAGCUGCAACUGACUGUGAUAACUGACUGGUCUUCCCCAUCCCUAACAUUCCUGUCGUCUCACUGUCCCUGACCCUCUAAUAUUCCCCUCUCCGAGUGUCUGCACCAUGGGGCGAGGGGACCACAGGAUGGCUCUUGGCUGAGAGCUCCCUCCCUGCCUAUCAAGUGACCUUGUGCUUUGGGGAUAACGCGCUCAGGGCGGACCGCCUCGUGUUGGGAACGUGGGGUUUGUGGGAUACUGCAUGCGAGCACUUUGGAGGCUCGCAUCUUUCAUUCUGAAAGCAUUCUCAGUCUCUGUUCUCUUAUACUCUUUGUGAGAAAGCUUCCAAAUAGUGAAAUUAGAUGAAAUUCACUCCUGUGUAGAGGAUCAGGCCCAUAUCUGUGCACUGUUUGGUCUUCCACUGACAUCCUUAAAACAGGACUGAGAUGACUGGUCCUCAACAGUACGUAACUUUUGGGCUUACUCCAUCAUGGAAAUCAGUUCAUCUCAGGUGGUGCGGCCAACAGGGCAUCGUGACCCCCCUGACUCCCUGAACUCCCAGAGGCAGUGUGAAUGUGUGGGAAGGAGAAGAACUUACAGGACACAGAAAUGUCAUUUGAUUUGCCUGAUAUGAGCCAAUUCAUGCCUCUGAGUUAGGGUAGAAGACUCAGCUGUCCACUAUGAAAUGUGGUGGGAAGUGGGUCUGCAUUUCUUAAAGAGUGUACUUUGCUAAACAUUAGUGUGAAGAGAUGACUGCUUUGCUGUCCUUGUUCUUAAGAGAGAAGAUGUAUUUUCUUUCUGUGCAUUCAUGUGUGUGCUGAAUCUGCACUCUCAGUGCUGAGGAGGAGUGUAGAGAGAAGGCAUGAAGUAUGGCUAUAUGCCUAGCCAAGAAAAUUGAACUGUACUUUCUGGUGAUGGUCUCCAUGUGCUGAGAUGCGCCUUGAUGGUUGGGGACAGUACCGCAUCAGAUGGUGUUUCCCGGCACAUCUGUUGGCUCUCUGCAGAGCCAACUUGGGUGUCACUAUAGCUCUCUCCAGAAACCAAGACUCUGGGGACACCUUGUCAAGGACAACUCUAUCAGCCACGCAUCUGAAAGCCAAGAAGGGGGAAGGCCCUGAGCACAACUAAAUGGUGGUGCUUUCCCCGUGGGCACCAUACGAUGGACGCAUGAGUCUGCACUGUAUCUCCUCAAGGGUUUUGGAAAGCUAAGCGCCACCGGGGACAUCACAACUCCACCUCUUCAUCAGCAGCGUAACUUCAGCUGGCGAUGGAGUGGCCCUUCUGAGGACAAGUUGGGUUUCUCUGAGCCCCCCAGCAAGUUGCAUGGUUGCACUGCUUCCAGCUCCAUUUGUGCAAACCAGGUGCCAGCCCACGCCUCCCCACUCUCUGUCUGAGGCUCUAUGAAGCUCUGCUGAAGCUCUCCUCCAGCACCUUGACCCUUCCUGAGAGCAGCAGAGGGGCAUUUACAGCAGUAAUGCUGGAAAGAUAAAAAGUCCACAGCUUAGAGACACCUGUGAGCUUGUUGAACAGUUUUAACACUAGCCAUUCACUGAAACAAGUUCAAAGCAGUGGUGAUGUCUAGAGCUUUAUUCCUAAUCUGUUGGGGGAAAAAAUCGCUUUGGCACAAAAUUUGCUUGUUACAUGAACUGAUGGGUUUUAACAUAGUCUGUACAGUCUCUGUCUCAAGCAAGGAAUUUAUUUCCUCUGUUUUCUCACUGAAUUAGUUAAUGUUAGUUGGUAAUACAGACAAAAUUCUGUUUGUUUUAUUAUACAAAUACUGUUAAGUGAGUUGUCUGUCCAUUGGAAUUGGAGUUAUUGUUUCAAAGGGAUCAGGAUGCUUUUGCCUGGUCUUUUAUUCUUGUGGUCAGCAUUCAUUAUGCAGCAGCCACUAGUAUCUGAAAAGAGCACUACCUUUUCAAAUUUCAAUUUGACCUUUUGUAAUUAAUAGAGGUUUCAUUCACAGUGUUUAUAGAAACUGGUGAAGUAGAUGCUAUCAUUGAAAUUCAGGGGGAUAGAGUUUCAUGGGAAUGAGAAGAACUGUUUAGCUCUUUCACAGUGCUUUGGGAAUCCGCCUUUGCAGUUUUUUGGUUACUACUCUUUUAUACAGUCCAUAUGUGUCAAAAAAAUAACGAAACAGCCAAGUGAGGGGAAAAGAAUGAAGUUUUGGACAAUUACACUGUAUUAUUAUUAUGCUAGAAAACUAAACUCUUUAAUUUUACAGAUAUUAUCUUUGCCAUUUCAGCUGUUAUUUUUGUGAACAAAACCAACUUUCUAACAUUCGAAUUUGAUCUACUUUCUGAAGGCUGUAAUCUUGCCAAGACUGCCCUCCUUACCAUUAUAGCAUGUCUCAACUAGCCUGAAUCAUGUGUAGCCUUAAGUCUGGUUUACCCUACACUGUCUCUGCCAGAAUUCCUCCUUUUCUUUUACUAUCACGCAUUAAUACUCUUAGCCUAUGUCACAUUUCCAGCCUGAAAACAAGCUAAAGCAGGAGACACAUUUCAGCCUAUGUAUCUUCAGCAGUAUCUAUACUUCGCAUUAGAAUGCAUAUAGCUGAAGCGAGGCAAUAGUAACUGGCUUCAAACUGAUCUUGGUAACUUCUGUGAAGGAAGACAAACACCCAUAGCAGGGGGUUUGGAAACAGAUGAUCCUUAAGAUCCCCUCCAGCCCAAACCAUUCUAUGCUUCUAUGAAGACAAAUCUUCUAGUAGCUCUGAGGCUGAAGGUGCAAUGAAUGAUGACUGCAGUGUAAAUCACUCUGUGGAGAACUUCUUUGUUUUCUGCAUGGUGCUUGUAGUUGAGAUCUUGCAAGCUUUGCCUUCCGUGAGAGCUUUGUCUAUAAGUGUUUUUCCAGACUGGGUUCUUCUGCACAAGGCUGGGUGUAUGGAUGUGAAAUGCAGGUGCAGAAAUACCCAGAGCAUUCAAUGCUGUGCAGACGAAAUGUGACAUGAAACCUCUUAAUGGAGUCAGAAAGAUGUCAGGGGAAGAAGUGGUGAGAACCUGAUUUUGCUCCUGUUUAUGGCUUUGCCUGCUAGCUGAGUGGUGCUGCCACUGGAGAGGAUUUGGUGCCAGUUCUGCAGAGCACUGAGGGAAAUGCAUGCCUGUGCUGCCUGCCUCCACCUAGCUCGGGCUGUGAACAGGCUAAGCUGUAAGCACAUGACUAUCCCCUCCAGAACAAAUGGGUCUGAAUUGCGCAGGGAAGGACAUCGCUUGGACAUGGUUGCAUUGUUAGUGCUUGUUUUUGUCCGUGUGACCCAUCUACCUCAGGGUCAUAUUGAGACCUGUUAGGGAAGACCAAAUAUUCAAGACUGGAAGUAAAAGAAGGGGCAGAAUAUCUAAAUGUUAUGAAGGUAGUGAAAAGGCAGUGGGAAAGCCUGGCAAUCAUAAUGGAAGUUUCUGUCUUUUUUUCUAAAGAAGGCAAGCAUAAUCCUUAUCCUUUAAUAUCCUACUUUGUUUUACACUGGAAUUAGAAAAUCUUUUCCAUUUGUUUUAAUUAUCUGCUGGCUUUAACUCUGCCUUUGAAAAGCAUUUUUGCUAUGACAACCCUUGGUCUCAUAGUAAGCAGCGCUACGGAGAGACAGCUAAAGUAAGACUUUUAUCUUUCCUUGCAUGCAGUGUUUACUCUUUCUAAUCUUUUAAUGUGACUGUGUUUUCUCCUAUUUUGUAAACUGAUUAGCAGUGUUUCUUCAAAAAAAGUGGUUGAAAAACAUAUUUUGCUUAAACGGAACCAAAUUUCCAUCUAACAAUGUGAAUUCUCUUAAGUGACCAAUUCAUUCCAAAGUUAAACCUCUUGCUAAGGCUAACUUCCAGUCACUGACUUUAAUGGCAACUCAACUUUUUUAAGAGCAGUUUGUAAAAAAGUAGGUUUUGUUAAUGCUUUUGGUUUGUUUUAUAAUAAAAAGAUUCACUGUCUUGCCAAAUAAAAUAAUAGUAAUAAUAUUAAUAAUAAUAAUUCUAUGCAUUGUGUGAUUCAGUGAUGUUGCUGUUGAAAUUUUGCAUGUUUUCGAGAUGUUCUGACACUUGUAUGUUCUGUGGUACUUGUAAAAAUGCUAACCAUUGCUGCUAUAAUCACCACCAUUGUAGGUAAAUGAAAACACUACUAAGAAACUGUGCCAGUUAGCGGGGUUUUUUGUGUGUCAUGGUAAUACUCUGCAUUCUGCUGUUCAUUUCCUGUUUUAAGCCAGUAUUUAGUGCCUUCUGUAGAAGGAAUCAAUAUGUUGUGGUAGACAGGAGGUGCCAAACUUCUAAUAUCUUGUUCUGCACAGAUGAUUACUUACCAUCUUGAAGCUUAAAUAAAAAAGAAACAGAAAGGAAAAAGGAAAAAAAAAACCACCAACUUGAACUCUCCAUCUUUCUUUAAAGAAGUAUCUUCUCAUUAAUUGUCAUUUGGGGAAAAAACCCUUUAAUAGUGCUGAAAAGAAGCCAUUUUCCCCAGCUAUGCCUCCUGCAGCAGCAGUCUGCCAACUGUGAAUGUGAGGGGUAUGAGGGAAUGCGCAGUACCCAAAUGUUCUUGUUGGUAACGGAUCCAGUGAUUAGCCAGGGCUGCUCAAGUCAUUGCAGAGCAUGCUAAAAUGGCAUGUAAUGAAAGCAACCCUCUGAUUACCAUCAGAAGCUGUUAGCUCUCAUAACACUUGUGAGCUUGCUCUUGUAAACAAGCAUCAGCCUGGUCAAGUGGUGGAUUCCAGUCCCUGUUCUGCCUCCACUGAAGCCACACAUUGCUGCCAAAUGAGACUUGGAUGAAAUUCAAGCCCAAGAUUUUUGGUCUCGUUCUUUCCAACUGCUUUCAUGGCAGACAAGCCUUGUUUAUCAAAAUUCUGACAUUGCAUUUUCAGUUCCUCUUGCACCCUCUGCUUAGAAUCUGGCAGUAUAGCAAACACGCACACCAUACACACUCAUUGUGAUUUUGAUGAGAUUUUGACAGGCUGAAAUUGUACACACUGUAAUCAUACAACAGAAACAGGCAGGAGGGAAAUGCGAGAUGUUCAUCUGUGUAGUGCAUUUCCCAGCCACCAGGCAUGGUCCAAUAAAUCUAGGCUGGUCUUUAAUAUUUUGUGUGGAAAAGAGAAAAGGCUAACCAUCGCUCUUACAUCUUUACUGAGCGAUGAAAGCCUGUUACAUAUCUUGAAAAGACUUUUCAAAUCAGAAUACUAAGUCACCAGAAAAACUCUGUGAUUGGGAAAAUAAGAGCGCAUUAAAUUCAUCCUUACAGGUACUGGUCUAAAGUGCUGUCUGUUCCCAUCUCUUGGAGGGAAUGGGGUUCCCUUCAGAAAUACUAGCUCCUUUUACUGUCCAUUAAAAAUUUAUAGCUUCUUCAGGUUCCUUCUGCCAGAGCAGAUACCAGCUGAGACCAGUUGCAAUGUGUUUGUCCAUUGUUUUGCUUGUCUAACAUUAAAGAUGUUAAAUAUGUAAAUAAGCAUUGAUACCUGGUCUUAUUUCAUGCAUUUCUUCCAUUUAUAGCUAGAUUUGCGUCUCCAUGGUCCCACCAAUUCCACUCAUUGUCAUGCCAAUUGGUCUUCAUAGCUGAUUUUAUGUGUUGGUCCAACUUAAAAAAAAGAAAAAA